rnacentral:rRNA from 1 species
CAGUAGCCACGGGAAUACGUAGGUGGCAAGCGUUGUCCGGAAUUAUUGGGCGUAAAGCGCGCGCAGGCGGAUAGGUCAGUCUGUCUUAAAAGUUCGGGGCUUAACCCCGUGAUGGGAUGGAAACUGCCAAUCUAGAGUAUCGGAGAGGAAAGUGGAAUUCCUAUUGUAGCGGUGAAAUGCGUAGAUAUUAGGAAGAACACCAGUGGCGAAGGCGACUCUCUGGUCUGUAACUGACGCUGAGACGCGAAAGCGUGGGGAGCAAACAGGAUUAGAUACCCCUGUAGUCCCUGUCUCUUAUACA